CCUACGGGUGGCUGCAGUGGGGAAUAUUGGACAAUGGGGGGAACCCUGAUCCAGCCAUGCCGCGUGUGUGAAGAAGGCCCUCGGGUUGUAAAGCACUUUCAGUGAGGAAGAACGCCUGGUGGUUAAUACCCAUCAGGAAAGACAUCACUCACAGAAGAAGCACCGGCUAACUCCGUGCCAGCAGCCGCGGUAAUACGGAGGGUGCGAGCGUUAAUCGGAAUUACUGGGCGUAAAGCGCGCGUAGGUGGCUUGAUAAGCCGGUUGUGAAAGCCCCGGGCUCAACCUGGGAACGGCAUCCGGAACUGUCAAGCUAGAGUGCAGGAGAGGAAGGUAGAAUUCCCGGUGUAGCGGUGAAAUGCGUAGAGAUCGGGAGGAAUACCAGUGGCGAAGGCGACCUUCUGGACUGACACUGACACUGAGGUGCGAAAGCGUGGGUAGCAAACAGGAUUAGAUACCCCAGUAGUC
rnacentral:rRNA from 1 species